rnacentral:ncRNA from 1 species
AACAACGAACUGCAAGAAGUCAGCAGAGGCCAUAGUACCGAAAACGGGAAGGG